GCUGUAGGUACUAUGGCUCCUGAAGCUGCUUUCCAUAUAGUAACUGGCGUCGUCGUCGUCUUCCAGCUCCUCCGAGUAAUCGGAGUCAUCGUCGUCUUCCUCCAUCUCAUCCUCCUCAUUGUCCUCAGACUCGUGGGUCUCCUCGGUGUGGCCGUCCUCUUCCUCCUCCUCGCUGUCGUGGUCAUUGUGCACCACCUUGCUGAUGGCCCUCAGGGCCACGAUGGUCCCGGCCAGGUAGCCGCCCCCGCCUCCUCGCUCCCCGUCCCUACCCGGCCGCCGCCCGGGGGCGCUGGUGCUGCCGGGGAGGGAUGGGAGAGUCGUGGGGGCGGGGAACCGGCGGCGGCGGCUUCCUCCGGCUACUGCUGCCCCUGCUGGGCGAGCUCAGCCGCGUCUUGGGGUCCAUCUCAGCCUGGCCUGCGGCCCAUCUGCCCCGGAGGCUACCGCGGUGCUGCGAGCGAAGACCCUCGAUGGGUCCAGACGUGGGCCGUGGCGGCGAUGGCAGGGCUCCGCAGCGGGAGCCGCGGGCUGCUUGGGCGGCCUGUCCACCUGCCUCUCCGAUUGGAGCCUAGGCAGGCGGGAGAAGAGCGGGGUCACGUGAGCUGCACCGCGGGAGAGCCUGGGACGCAGCGACGCUACGCGGCGGCGCUGCGGGGAGCGCGGGAGUGUGGAGUCCCGGGCGGGAGCCCGGAGCGCCCGCACUCCGCGCAGCGCGGCGCGGCUGGACUCCGGGCGCCGGUGGCGCGGCUGAGAGGGGCGUGCAGUUCGCGAAAUGCCCCUUGUCAAAGGCCUUCGGAGACCACAGCCUCCGUCUGGAGCCCAAAGCCGGCCAGACCUCCUCCCCGCAUCUCCCCUUCUGCGGCUGGGAGAGGAAGGCAGGGGAGCCCCCAGGUAUCAUUGCCCUCUCGCCCCAUCGGGAAACUGAUGCUGAAAGAGCCAGAGAGAGAAAGAAAAAAAAAGUCGCGGAGACGGGCCGCCCGAGCGACCGAAAGCACUGGGCAGCGCCAGCGACGGAGGGAAAUUAGUUGGGGGAGACAAGCACAAGCCCCCAGAAUUUAGGGAACUCCGAAGCUUGGAGCUGGAGUCCUGAAAUUGACUCCGAUGACAACCGCUGUGGGUCUGUGCCAGGAGCCACGCCCUGAGGGAAGGGCGUCCUAAGACCUGUUGCGUGGAAUCCCCACUAGGAAAGCCUCAGUAAACUCCAGAAUGCAACUACUGCACUUCCAAUCUCCCGCCACCUUCCCAAUGCCUUAGCUAGGACCUCGUUUGCCGUGGAAAAGAGGGAAUCUUGUCUAAAACCUACUUCACGGUGUUACAUGUUUGUAUUAUCGGGAAAUAACCUUAAUUUAUUGACCUGACAUGUCACUAGCUUUCAGCUUAGCCCAGGGGACGAAUCAUGAUGACAUUUCAGGCACCCUGAAACCUUAUCACAGGGACUCAACCCUGAGUGGUUGAGGUCAGCUCUUCAGACAAAGGUGAAUUCUCAAGGUUGCAUGUGAGCUCAAAGAGAGGCAAAGCAGAUAAGAUACUGGAGAGACAUUCUAUGUCAUAAACAGAUAGAGAUGGAAAAAUAGCCAAGUUAGAAAGAAGACGACUAAAGAGCAAGCGUGCACACGGGGGAGAAAACAGUCAAGGACAAAAUGAACUCAAAGCCCUUGGGAAGGCAGAGGAAAGGCCAGGGUGAAGAGAACAAUCUAUACAAGGGUUUCUUUAUGGUGGGUUUUGUUUUGUUUUGUCUUUUAUAAAAAACGACAGAACCACUUUUCUUUAAAUAAAAUCUAAUGAGAAACUUCAAUACAUAAAAUAAAACUAUU